GCCCGUCUUUCCUUUUGCAGAGAGCACUUAUGCUCUCUCUGUCUGUUCUAGCUUCUUCUAGGCCCAGUCAGAACUCUCCCUGGGGGUGAGAAAAUGGACAAGGGGAAAAUUGAAGCUGGAAGGAAGGCCGGGGAACUGUGGAGACCAGCAUGAAGGGAUGCUAGUGCUGUCCAUGGCCUCAGCCCCAUGUCCUUUCAGGUAGAGAAGCCAGUCUGCUGCCUGCCACAUGAGCCAUUGUCUGGGCCAGACAUGGAGAACUGCUGGGUCUUUUGGGGGCUUGUCUUGUGGCUGAUGGCUCCCUACCUGGGUUGGACACAUGAGUCAGCACCCCAGCAGGAAUGGACAUACAUGGUACCACAGCACUCUAACUGGCUGGGCUUCAAAUUUGGGGAGCAUGGCUGCCCUUCACGGACCCCCAACUGCUCCACCUGCCACUGCACAGCUGGAGGAUGGAACUGGUUCGAAGCGUGUUAUGAGAAGAGCAUGGGGUACUUGAGGAGGACAAAAGCGCUCUGGUGGCUGGGCAUGAGCUCAGUAAGCGAGCUUGGAAAAGUGUGGAAGAAGCUACUAGAAGUGAUUUCCAGGCCCCUCCUGUACCACUUUGAUGUCCCCUGUGUGCCCUGCGUCAUGCUGCGGAACUCUGGCCUCAGCAAUACCAAGCAAUUGAUGAGUCAGGACACCAUCCACAGGGCUGAGGCAGAUAUGAGGAGCCAAACCACAGGACCCUUCAUCUGUCCCAGGAAUGCCAGUCACCAGGGCUCCUGGAGGCAGCCGUGGUUCCUGGAGCUUGCUGAUCUGGUGCCCCGAAUGACAAGAUUUUGGAAGACAGUCUGAUUUCCCUAAGGCACGAGAUAGUUAAGAUGCGGCCACGCUCUCUGGAUUUGGAUCAGAACAGCAAAGCAGUCCUAUUUCGAUAACCAGACCAAAGGCCCCCUGACGGACCUGUCUGCAUGGACUAGAGAAGCAGAAACGGAAGUUGCUUGUCAGCUAAGAUGGACAGACAAAGCUACCAUUCACAAGUGACAACUGCUGAGGCAUGAAUGCUGGAGAGUUUUAGGACACAACAGCCACAUAACUGUGAAGACAUUCAUAGGUGAAGAUCUAAAGAAAAUGGAAGCUCCCCAAGUAAACAAGUCAAAAGCUUCCGAAAGUCCCAGAAACGGAGCAGAUUCACUAGACCCUUCACUCUCUAAGUAUGUAUCAGUGAGAGUCACUCCCAGACAAACCCAGCUGUCUGGAAUGAGGCAGAGAUCAAUGGCACUGCUUGGAAGACUCUCCAACCUGUGGAGCUGCCUGCAAUUAUGCAGUGAGUGACAAGUGUCCAGCAUUUGUGAGUGUCACCCAUGGGGUGGGCUUUCGGUGAUGCCGCUGUCUUUGGGUCAUUU